UGAAUACGAGACGCUAAGGCGUCGAAGUAGUGUAUGUCAUACUUCCAAGAAAAGCUUGCACUGUCAUAGAUAAAAAACGCCUGUACCAUAACCGACACAGGUGGGUAGGUAGAGUAUACUAAGGGGCGCGAGAUAACUCUCUCUAAGGAACUCGGCAAAAUAACUCCGUAACUUCGGGAGAAGGAGUGCCUUAUUCGUAAGGUUGCAAUAACAAGAUCCAAGCAACUGUUUAUCAAAAACACAGGUCUCCGCUAAGUCGUAAGACGAUGUAUGGGGGCUGACGCCUGCCCAGUGCCAGAAGGUUAAAGAAGUUGGUUAGCAAUUGCGAAGCUGAUAACUGAAGCCCUGGUGAACGGCGGCCGUAACAAUAACGGUCCUAAGGUAGCGAAAUUCCUUGUCGGGUAAGUUCCGACCCGCACGAAAGGCGUAAUGAUUUGGAUACUGUCUCGGAGAGGGGCUCGGUGAAAUAGACUUGUCUGUGAAGAUGCGGACUACCUGCACCAGGACAGAAAGACCCUAUGAAGCUUUACUGUAACUUGAAAUUGAAAUUGGACUUUAUUCGCGCAGCAUAGGUGGGAGGCGUUGAUUAUAAUCUUGCGGGAUUAUUGGAGCCAUCAGUGAGAUACCACUCUUGUAAUGUUAGAUUUCUAACUUUGAAUCAUUAUCUGGUCAAAGAACAGUUUCAGGCGGGCAGUUUGACUGGGGCGGUCGCCUCCUAAACGGUAACGGAGGCGUACAAAGGUUUCCUCUGAACGGUUAGAAAUCGUAUCUAGAGUGUAAAGGCAUAAGGAAGCUUGACUGUGAGACCUACAAGUCGAGCAGGGACGAAAGUCGGUCUUAGUGAUCUGACGGUACUGAGUGGAAAGGCCGUCACUCAACGGAUAAAAGUUACUCUAGGAUAACAGGCUGAUCUCCCCCAAGAGUUCACAUCGACGGGGAGGUUUGGCACCUCGAUGUCGGCUCAUCGCAUCCUGGGGCGGUAGUACGUCCCAAGGGUUGGGCUGUUCGCCCAUGAAAGCGGUACGCGAGCUGGGUUCAGAACGUCGUGAGACAGUUCGGUCCAUAUCCGGUGUAGGCGUUAGAAUAUUGAGAGGAGCCUUCUUUAGUACGAGAGGACCGAGAAGGACAUACCUCUGGUGUACCAGUUAUCGUGCCAACGGUAAACGCUGGGUAGCUAUGUAUGGAGUGGAUAACCGCUGAAAGCAUCUAAGUGGGAAGCCCACCUCAAGAUAAGUAUUCUCAUC
rnacentral:rRNA from 1 species